rnacentral:ncRNA from 1 species
AAAUAGCCCAAUCAAAUAUUUUUCAUAUAGAGUAAUUCAUAGACCUCAAUUUGUCGGACCUUGAUAGUUCUCUGCCAAAUUUUGCAAUGUCACUCACCCGAGCCAUCAGUGAGAUACCACUCUGGAAGAGCUAGAAUUCUAACCUUGUGUCAGGACCUACGGGCCAAGAGACAAUCUCAAGUAGACUUUCUAUUGAGCGUAGGCCUCCCAAAAGGUAACGGAGGCAUGCAAAGGUUUCCUCGGGCCAGAUGGAAAUUGGCCCUCAAGUGCAAAGGCAAAAGGGAACUUGACAGCAAGGUCCACCCGUCGAGCAAGGAUAAAAGUCAACCUUAGUGAUUCAACGGAACCGAGUGGAAGGGUCAUCACUCAACGGAUAAAAGUUACUCUAGGGAUAACAGGCUGAUCUUCCCCAAGAGUUCACUAUCAACAAGAAGGUUUGGCACCUCGAAGUCAGCUCUUCGCCACUUGGGGUUGUAGUAUGUUCCAAGUGUUGGGCUGUUUGCCCACUAAAGCGGUACAUAAGCAUACGAUCU